rnacentral:rRNA from 1 species
UACGAAGGGGGCUAGCGUUGCUCGGAAUCACUGGGCGUAAAGGGUGCGUAGGCGGGUCUUUUAAGUCAGGGGUGAAAUCCUGGAGCUCAACUCCAGAACUGCCUUUGAUACUGAGGAUCUUGAGUUCGGGAGAGGUGAGUGGAACUGCGAGUGUAGAGGUGAAAUUCGUAGAUAUUCGCAAGAACACCAGUGGCGAAGGCGGCUCACUGGCCCGACACUGACGCUGAGGCACGAAAGCGUGGGGAGCAAACAGG